rnacentral:rRNA from 1 species
UACGUAGGGGGCAAGCGUUGUCCGGAAUCAUUGGGCGUAAAGAGCGUGUAGGCGGCCCGGUAAGUCCGCUGUGAAAGUCGGGGGCUCAACCCUCGAAUGCCGGUGGAUACUGUCGGGCUAGAGUGCGGAAGAGGCGAGUGGAAUUCCUGGUGUAGCGGUGAAAUGCGCAGAUAUCAGGAAGAACACCCGUGGCUAAGGCGGCUCUCUAGUACGGUACUGACGCUGAGACGCGAAAGCGUGGGGAGCGAACAGG